rnacentral:rRNA from 1 species
UACGAAGGGGACUAGCGUUGUUCGGAUUUACUGGGCGUAAAGCGCGCGUAGGCGGAUCGCUAAGUCAGGGGUGAAAUCCCAAGGCUCAACCUUGGAACUGCCUUUGAUACUGACGAUCUGGAGAUCGGGAGAGGUGAGUGGAAUUCCGAGUGUAGAGGUGAAAUUCGUAGAUAUUAGGAAGAACACCAGUGGCGAAGGCGGCUCACGUGGUCCGGUACUGACGCUGAGGUGCGAAAGCGUGGGGAGCCAAACAGG